AAGUUGUGAUGACUUUAAAAGAUUGUAAACGAAAACUUUCUAGGGUUUUAAUUGAAAAACAUCUGUGUAGGUUGGGGAUUUCGUUGUAAUUUUUCCUCCUAUUUAUCACACUUUCCCUCUCUUUCUUCCCUCCCUUCCAAGUGACAAUAUCAGAGAAGACUAGAAGAGCAGUUAACAGUUUCUUUGCCUUUAGCAUUCCCCAAGGGGGAGAAGAUUAAUUCCGCUGUAUUCUCAGUUUACAGAGAAAGACACACGCAUAGCUCUAUCACUAUCAGCUUGGCCUUGCCAAAAUGGGGCCGGAAUCUGGACUCCUCAGUCCCUCUAAUCCCUCUACUGAGGUUCUCACAUAGGCCCUUGGUAUCCCCUUGUUCUGUAAUGUGCUUACACUAUGAAAACUAGAGUAUGAAUGCCUCUAUUGUGAGGAAAUAGAUACAAAAGAAAUUCAAAAUUAGAGGGUACACGCUCAAAGUUGAUGCUUUUGAAGAGAUCCUCUCCUUUGUCAACAGCUUCCAAGGUGCUGAAGAUGAGGCCGUUGAUCUCCUCCUAGGUCACCUUCAAUAUGAAUCGCAGAAAGUGGGAGUGAAAUCUUUCAUAAUUGACAAGGAGCCAAUACAUCAUGUUAUAACCAGUUUAUUUGAAGCUGAGGAUGCAGUGGAGCACCCCAAACGAGAUAGUUUCUACUAGUUCCGCAAUUCCCGUGAUUGAUGCUAUUUUAGUCCCCAAAUUUCACUUUGUUCCCAUCAAGAAGCAGUUUUAUCAGUCUUGAUGAUGCAGGUUAUAUUAAAUGGUUUUCAGAUGCUGUUCACCUUUUCAUAAAUAGCUUUACUUUUUUAUAUGAGAUGAGGAUGAUCAAUGCUUUGACUACUUCAGGUGCAUCAACUGUACUAUCUUGGUGCACUUUACCAAAAUCUCUAACUGAAGAGCUUCUGAAGCACAUUCCAAAAGCCAUAUUUUUCAGUAAUCCUUGCUGGUUAAUCUGUCUGAUCACUGAUUAGUUAAAACAAAUAAACUUGUUAUGCUCAGCAAAGUCUUACUUUCUUUUAUUGGCUUCUGGAAAGCAAAUAAACUUGUUAUACUCCAAAGGAUACCCAGCAAAGUCUUACUUUUCUUUUAUUGGCUUUUGGAAUUUACAUUAUUUUGAAUUCUGGGGACAAUUUAAUAAUGAAGGCUUAAACAUGAUUUUUUGAAAACAUUUUACAACUUGAAAUAGUGAAACCAUGAUGUGUAAGGGUUUAAUGUGUGCUUUAACUCUAUGCAAACGCUUCUUAUUUAAAUGCAGGGUCAAGUUCUACACUAAAGAAAUUGUAUUUUUUUCGUUCUGCUAUAUAGGAUGCGUCAGUCAUGUUCGCCCCCAUCUACGGAGGAAACUGCUGAUCCUUUUGAACAUGUUUUCUUUUUUCUCCCCUCUAAACCUUGUUUUUCAUACAUUCUACUGAUGCAUUUCAUCACUUUGGGGUUAUUGGUCAACCAUAUUAAUGGGUUUUGACUUCUUUUACAGCUGGUUGCCACUAUAACCCAUCAAAGUCGUCUCUGCCCAGUUCCUCUUACUGUUCAGCGGGUUAUCUGGAAUUAUGUUCAUUGUCUCCAUCUUUAUCCCUCUCCACAUAUACUAUUGCUGAUAUCUUUCUUUGGUCCUUUUUCCAUUAUCAAAUCCUGUUUUCCUCAAACUAACAUCAUUUUGACAGUGAGAAGAAGCCAAACUCAUUUAACGCAUUUCACAUAUUGUUUUAGGUGAUAAAAGUGAGCUGAAGGCGUUCAAAUACAAAGGAAUCACUUGUUUCAACCCUGGAUCCUAUGACAACACCUUUGUAGCGCAUCGUCCUUGCACUCAAGAAGUUGAGUUUUCGGAAUCGUGAUUAUCAAUGGGAGUUCUGAGUAUUUUUUAGCAAAUGAAAAAGUGCGUGCUUAUUUACGCCAUCAAUCCCUUUUGAAGUUUUCUAGGCAAUUGAUAUUUAGGUGAAAAUAUAGAUUUUUUUUUUCUCUUUAGGGGGCAGUAAAUUGUUUUGGAUUGCGAAUUUUGCCUUUAUUUGGUGAAUACAAUUCCUCUCUUUGAUAAAUUUUAAAAUACAACUAUGUAAUUAUAAUCA